GCUCAACCGGGGAGGGUCAUUGGAAACUGGGGAACUUGAGUGCAGAAGAGGAGAGUGGAAUUCCACGUGUAGCGGUGAAAUGCGUAGAGAUGUGGAGGAACACCAGUGGCGAAGGCGACUCUCUGGUCUGUAACUGACGCUGAGGAGCGAAAGCGUGGGGAGCGAACAGGAUUAGAUACCCUGGUAGUCCACGCCGUAAACGAUGAGUGCUAAGUGUUAGGGGGUUUCCGCCCCUUAGUGCUGCAGCUAACGCAUUAAGCACUCCGCCUGGGGAGUACGGUCGCAAGACUGAAACUCAAAGGAAUUGACGGGGGCCCGUACAAGCGGUGGAGCAUGUGGUUUAAUUCGAAGCAACGCGAAGAACCUUACCAGGUCUUGACAUCCUCUGACAAUCCUAGAGAUAGGACGUCCCCUUCGGGGGCAGAGUGACAGGUGGUGCAUGGUUGUCGUCAGCUCGUGUCGUGAGAUGUUGGGUUAAGUCCCGCAACGAGCGCAACCCUUGAUCUUAGUUGCCAGCAUUCAGUUGGGCACUCUAAGGUGACUGCCGGUGACAAACCGGAGGAAGGUGGGGAUGACGCCAAACCAUCAUGCCCCUUAUGACCUGGGCUACACACGUGCUACAAUGGACAGAACAAAG
rnacentral:rRNA from 1 species